CACGUAGGGGGCAAGCGUUGUCCGGAUUUAUUGGGCGUAAAGAGCUCGUAGGCGGUUCGGUAAGUCGGGUGUGAAACCUCCAGGCUCAACCUGGAGACGCCACCCGAUACUGCUGUGACUCGAGUCCGGUAGGGGAGCGUGGAAUUCCUGGUGUAGCGGUGAAAUGCGCAGAUAUCAGGAGGAACACCGGCGGCGAAGGCGGGCGCUGGUCGGCGAUACUGACGCUGAGGCACGAAAGCGUGGGGAGCAAACAGG
rnacentral:rRNA from 1 species